AUACGGAGGGUGCAAGCGUUACUCGGAAUCACUGGGCGUAAAGCGCGCGCAGGCGGGCUGAUAAGUUGGAUGUGAAAGCCUACGGCUCAACCGUAGAACUGCAUCCAAAACUGUCAGUCUAGAGUGUGGGAGAGGAAGAUAGAAUUAGUUGUGUAGGGGUAAAAUCCGUAGAGAUAACUAGGAAUACCAAAAGCGAAGGCAAUCUUCUGGAACACUACUGACGCUGAGGCGCGAAGGCGUGGGGAGCAAACAGGAUUAGAAACCCCAGUAGUCC
rnacentral:rRNA from 1 species